GACGAACCGUGCGAACGUUAUUCGGAAUCAUUGGGCUUAAAGCGCGCGUAGGCGGCGGCGUAAGUGGAGGGUGAAAUCCUAUCGGCUCAACCGUGGAAUCGCCCUUUCAAACUGCGUCGCUUUGAGGAAGACAGGGGCACGCGGAACUUCCAGUGGAGCGGUGAAAUGUGUUGAGAUUGGAAGGAACGCCAGUGGCGAAAGCGGCGUGCUGGAUCUUUACUGAGCUGAGGCGCGAAAGCUAGGGGAGCAAACGGG
rnacentral:rRNA from 1 species